UGGGGAAUAUUGCACAAUGGGCGAAAGCCUGAUGCAGCAACGCCGCGUGAGGGACGACGGCCUUCGGGUUGUAAACCUCUUUUAGCAAGGAAGAAGCGAAAGUGACGGUACUUGCAGAAAAAGCGCCGGCUAACUACGUGCCAGCAGCCGCGGUAAUACGUAGGGCGCAAGCGUUAUCCGGAAUUAUUGGGCGUAAAGAGCUCGUAGGCGGUUUGUCGCGUCUGCUGUGAAAACCCGAGGCUCAACCUCGGGCCUGCAGUGGGUACGGGCAGACUAGAGUGCGGUAGGGGGAGAUUGGAACUCCUGGUGUAGCGGUGGAAUGCGCAGAUAUCAGGAAGAACACCGAUGGCGAAGGCAGAUCUCUGGGCCGUAACUGACGCUGAGGAGCGAAACGGGUGGGGAGCAAACAGGCUUAGAUACCCUGGUAGUCACCCCGUAAACGUUGGGAACUAGUUGUGGGGUCCAUUCCACGGAUUCCGUGACGCAGCUAACGCAUUAAGUUCCCCGCCUGGGGGAGUACGGCCGCAAGGCUAAAACUGCAAAU
rnacentral:rRNA from 1 species